rnacentral:rRNA from 1 species
UACAGAGGUCCCAAGCGUUGUCCGGAUUCAUUGGGCGUAAAGAGCGUGUAGGCGGCCAGGUAGGUCGGUUGUGAAAACUGGAGGCUCAACCUUCAGACGUCGACCGAAACCAUCUGGCUAGAGUCCGGGAGAGGAGAGUGGAAUUCCUGGCGUAGCGGUGAAAUGCGCAGAUAUCAGGAAGAACACCCGUGGCGAAAGCGGCUCUCUGGAACGGUACUGACGCUGAGACGCGAAAGCGUGGGGAGCGAACAGG